rnacentral:tRNA from 1 species
GCCUGGGUAGCUCAGUGGUUGAGCAUCUACCUUCGGCGCAGGUUGUGAUCUCGGGGUCCUGGGAUCAAGUCCCACAUCGGGCU